AUGAUUUCCCAGUACUUGGCUCCAGAAACUCUGCGUCAAACAGUCAACAAGGGGCAAAUUUCAGGAAGGUGGCCAACUAUUGCUUCUGGUAUUGUGGCAACACAAGAUAAAGAAGGAAAGAACCCGAUAACUGGAACUGGUGAGGUAAUUUUGUCUUGCAGUUAUGAGCAUGAAAUUAUCUCAAGAAUGGACUAUGUUUGCAAAGGAGACGAUCCUAUUCCUGCUGCAAAGUUGAUAAGGGGAGCUGAGCAGGCUCAACUGCAUGAUCCCCAAGUUCCUAAUAUAUGUAUACCUCCUCCAUUGUUGGAUUACUGGCAUCGUCCUCCUGAUCAGCCACCUGAUGAAAAUGGAAAAUUGCAUAGUGGAGAGAUGCCAUAUGGUCUGUACAAGCAUGCUGACCCGACUGGCUUUGCUGUUGAAUCUCUUGCUCAUCGUGAUCAGUUCGCGCUCAACGAGGAGGCACUAGCAAAGCAGGAUACUGGACAUGGUGGGUAUUAUCCAGACAAGAGGGAUAUAUCUCAUGCUCACAUGCCUGCUGAUUGUUGUGUCAUAAAUCAAUCUUGCCAUGUUCUUGGGAAGGUCAAGAAUGGCCAUGCAGAUGUACUUGAGAUCGAGAAGCAACCUAUCAUCAAGAAGGAUGUGGCUCUAUUAGAGAAAAUCAAGUGUCUAAACAACAAAGCUAGAAAUUUCCGUGCCCUUAACUUGUCCAAUCUACCUUCAUCUCUACUCAAGGACUCCAAGGUUAAACACCCAAAAAUCAUCCGUGUCGAGGAAGAUCCUGCGACAAAAUAUGUUCCCUUCAGUGCUUCCACCAGUGAGACUGGUCCUGCCUUUGACAGGCUUAAUUCUGUUUCUCAAAGCAGCAGUUCUGUGUCAACUAAUCCAUCAAAUGGGCCUGAUAAGGGUGUAACUGUUGUUUGUCUGUCAGAAAAACAAGUUACUGAAUUCAGCCAAGCUGGAAAAGUUGGCAAAUCUGCUGAUCGCCAUGCAUAUGGAAGAAGCGAUAUCUCAAGAAACAUGCUUGAUGGUUCUGCUCAGGACAUGCCAUCUCGUAUUACUGGACAUGGAUGUGAAGAGCACUCCAUAGUUGACUCUUUGCGAGGAGUUCUUAUGGUAGAUGCUCAACAAGACCAACUUCUUUCUAGGAACACCUCACAGCAGCCACAUGUGACAGUCGCUGAUAAGGAGCCAAAUUGGCUUCACUGUGAAGACCAGCAUUCCAGAAUGAGAUAUUUGUCUGCUCAAGCUGCGAAACAACUACAGGACGCGGAGAAGUGGAUUAGUCAACAAAAUAUAAAUGCUAUUGCAAAACUGGAAGAAUUGAGGAGGUAUCAAUCAAUACAGAGUCAGAAGUCCAAUGAUGCACCCCCAGACGCAGAUAUGUACUGCAAACCAAAAACGCGAGAUGAUGUGACUGCUAAAUGUGCUAGUUCAGUGGCAGAUACAUGUUGUAUUGUCUCUGCUGAUGGUCAUAAUGCGCCUCAGCCAGUAGCUGGAGUCAAGAUUAGUGAAGUUUCUAUUGGUUCCAGUGCAGAAUCAAAUACUUCAGGUGUUAGUAAAGGUUAUAAUUUCAGGUCUUCAGCCAAGAGCACACAGGUUAACAUGAUGGAACACAUUUCCCUCAACUCACUGUCACAUGACAACAGUACUCCAGAACACUGGCCAAUGGAGCACAGGCAAAUGCAUUUUGGUUCAUGGGAGAGAAAUAUAACAGAUAGGGAGAUACCUGCAGACACGAAGUGUGCUGAAGCUAAAAAUCAUGGCGACCUCUUGACCAGAAACAAGAGCAGCAGGAGGAACUUUAAUUCAGUUAGGCCUGCAGCGCCACCUGUGUUUAAUGAGAAGAAUUCUACAGAAGUCCUGAGUAUGCAGAAAACCCAUGUUCCAUGUAUUGCCAUCAAUAGUUCUAUAAUUCCUGCCAAGGUUACUUCUGUUACAGGUCUUAUUGUGGGUAAUAUAAUGCUUGAUGAUGUUCCACUUGCAUCAGUAAACCGGGAGUGGGCAGUACCGGCCAAGGAAGUACAUGAUGCAGCUAGUAGCCUCUCAGGGCCUCGGCAGGUCAAGAAAUCAGACAAGAGCCAGCAUGGUCUACUGCCUGUCCAGACUCCAAUUCCAAACAAUAGUGUCAUGUGCAAACCGAUUAAACAGACAGGCAGGAAAGAAGAGCAUGCAGAAGGAGGUCCGAAUGGUAUGGCUGUAGUUGAUGGACUUGCUUCGGCGGUGCAAAUUCUCGCUAAACCGGCAGAGUACUUCAAUGUGGCAGAUGUUAUACAGGAGUCAUCUGAUCAGUGGCAGCAAGGAGAUGUGCAAUUUGAGCUCAAGGCCCAUGGUGGUACCGAGGACCGUUCAAAACUAACUGGAAUGGCGUCCUUGCCUGACAAUACUUGGGAAAAGCAUCCGGCAACUGACAGUCCAAGGCGCUACCAUGUUGAGGCCCAAAGGAAUGUGGGGAUUCGCUAUGGUUACAGGGAGAGGGCAGGCAGGGGACGCUUCUUCCACGAAUCACCAGCUCCGUCUAGGGCUCGCUGGAUGCCUAAAUACAUCUCCCAUCCUCAGAGCGAUGCACAAUAUGAUGGUGUCUCUGAAUGGCUGCAGGAUUCCCACCAAUUCUUAUUGGACAACUCACAGGGAUUGGACAGCAAACCGAUUCAGAUAGCUGACAGGGAUGCUGGAAUGGAUCUGCAGGGUGGAGAAGGCAAUGUAGGCAUGAGCUUCAGAGAUGAAAACCCCUUGAUAUGGAACGAAACAGAGUGGGAGUAUCAGCCUCUCUUUCCAGCGCCACAUCGCGUUGGCCAACAACACGGUAACACGAGUGAUGAUGGUCAAAGGGGUAGAGGCAGACACUCUGAGUACCGCCAACAACACGGUGACGCGAGUGGUGAUGGUCAGAGGGGUAGAGGCAGACACUCUGAGUACCACUAUCCGGAGCCGGUAAGAUCUCGUGAUGCUACACCUGACAUCCAGCGGAACCCCGGCGGUGCUGACAAUCAUCAGUAUCCGGCCUAUUUAAGAGCGGGAAUGCACACGGAGCGCAGGUACUAUAUUUGA
rnacentral:rRNA from 1 species